GGUGGGACGAAGACAAGAUAAAUGAAAAGUUGGGUGAUUUAGAAGAACUCAUACCUAAUUGCACCAAGAAUGACACAGAUACAUUGCUUGAUGAAACAUUCGAGUAUAUGAAGAAGCUUGAACGCAACUUUCAGAUUAUGAAAAUAAUCACAAACAACUCAUGCAAGGGACAAAUGUUGCAUCCAUCUUUAGUGCAUCAUUUAUUGUCCAUGCCAAGUUCAUCAGAAUCCCUUUCGACAAUUAUGAAUUCAUUGAAGUCGGACUCAGACUCAAACUCAGACUCAGAUGUGGACGUGGACGAAAAUGUUUAAUCAGGUUUGCUGAUUGAGUCAAGAAUAUUUUCAUGCUCUCAUGGUACCUUAUGUCGAAGUUGUAUCUUAUUUUAUAUUAUCGUAUUUUAGAAAAAA